ensembl:rRNA 5S_rRNA 5S ribosomal RNA
GUCUAUGGCCAUGCCACUCUGAACUAAGCCUAAUCCUGUCUGAUCUGGAAGCUAAGCAGGGGCGGGCCUGGUUAGUACUUGGAUGGAAGACCACUUAGGAAGAGCAGGUGCUGUAGGCG